AAAGCGACGUCGUUAUAGUUAUUGCAAGAAAGUAAUGUAUAAAAAUGUUAUUUUCAAGGACUCACACCUAGGCUUGGCUGCCAAUUAAGGAUCAGUUACAUACUAUUGACAAGCAAUCAGUUUAAUAGCGAAUAAUGGAUCCGGGGUGUAUUGGACUGCGACGGUGGAGAAUAAUUAGCCUGUUCAUUGGUUGGCUUGUGUUUGCUUUAAAUUUUGUUGCAUUCAUUUUUCUGAUUGUCCUCAUGAAUAAGAAUUCCGUUGGAACUGCACUUGAACUGCUUUACACCAUUACGUUUUGUAUUAUAAUUUUUUCUGUAAAUCUUAGCUGGCUAUAUGGCUCUCAACAAUACAAACCUGCAUUCAUGCUGGUCUCACUUAUAUGCUAUGGACUGGAAGCCAUUAUUUGCAUCAUCUCGUUAUUCUUCAUGCGAGUUAGACUAUUAUAUUUGGCAGCAACUUCAGUGGCUUUUGUAUGUCUAUUCAUAUUGGCUGUGUUAGGUUUUAUAUCUAUUAAGCGGUCCAUCUCACACAUUCCCGGAAGUCUGACAACUGAACGACUAUCAAGUCCAAUAUAUGACGUAUCGAAUGGACAAAUCGAAACCAUUAUGAUCAAAACAAUCGCUUGAUAUACACCAUUUUUGCACGAUUUAUCCAAAUGUUUAACAUUCUAAUUCAGAAGUUUGAAAAUACACAUUUUGUAUCACAAUUUACCGAUAUUUUUGAGCAACAUUUUAAGUAGUUCUGAAUAAUACAUAUCUUUGAAGUGAGAUUCAUUUCGUAUACUGGAAUAUUUGACAAUUUAUGAGCUUGAUUAGCGUUUUGACGAUAAUACAUUGAAUUAGAUAAAUUUAUAAUCACGAAUAUUUGUAGUUGUGCCUUUAAAAAGGUCCCCGAUUUUAGGGGACGUUUGAUAUAUUUCGUUUGUUGAAUGACAACACAUUCAAAUACAAAUACUUAGGUUUUCACAGAAAUUAAUGACACUCAGUACAAAUAACAGAUUAAGAUACGUAAUUUGAAUCAAAGCACAAUAAAUAUGCGAUUUUUAUUCCAUUUUUUUUUCUAAAUGAUCUCUUUAUUAUUACUAAUGUUAA